rnacentral:rRNA from 1 species
GAUGAACGCUGGCGGCGUGCCUAAUACAUGCAAGUCGAGCGAACAGACGAGGAGCUUGCUCCUCUGACGUUAGCGGCGGACGGGUGAGUAACACGUGGAUAACCUACCUAUAAGACUGGGAUAACUUCGGGAAACCGGAGCUAAUACCGGAUAAUAUAUUGAACCGCAUGGUUCAAUAGUGAAAGACGGUUUUGCUGUCACUUAUAGAUGUAUCCGCGCCGCAUUAGCUAGUUGGUAAGGUAACGGCUUACCAAGGCAACGAUGCGUAGCCGACCUGAGAGGGUGAUCGGCCACACUGGAACUGAGACACGGUCCAGACUCCUACGGGAGGCAGCAGUAGGGAAUCUUCCGCAAUGGGCGAAAGCCUGACGGAGCAACGCCGCGUGAGUGAUGAAGGUCUUCGGAUCGUAAAACUCUGUUAUUAGGGAAGAACAAAUGUGUAAGUAACUAUGCACGUGUUGACGGUACCAAAUCAGAAAGCCACGGCUAACUACGUG